rnacentral:sRNA from 1 species
GGAUAAAUAAUGCGGCCGCCUUCAUGUAUCUAUCUCCUCAGCCAUGGUGCAACCGAUCAAAGAUCGGUAAAACCA